CAACACCCUGUAUGUCCACCUCAGGUUAGACACACACAACACCCUGUAUGUCCACCUCAGGUUAGACACACACAACACCCUGUAUGUCCACCUCACAGGCUCUCUCUCGUGUCACCCCCAGUGGCCUCCAGUCAGCAGCCCCUCGAUGAGUCCCUCUGCCCCCAUCACCACCACCAUCACCACCCUGGAGGGUUAAACCAUGCACGGCCCUAACCAUACCACACACCAACACACACACCAUACCACACACCAACACACACUUCAAUACCUGGAGGACGCUUACUGAAACAACCAGUCAACCCAUCGGAUGCCUGGACUCUUACACAAUCAACCAAUCAAAAGGCAGGACAAGGACCUCGUCAUCCGCUAGCAACUCCAUCCAUCCAACCAGCCAAUCAAAACACACAGACUGAUGCUCUGCCUCUUUGACAUCAACUGAUCUCUGCUAAGUAACAAGCUCAUGCUGUUGUAACAGGGUGGAUGACACACACACACUCUCUCUCACACACACACACACACACACACACACACACACAACUCAGAGAGCGUUCAGCCGUGCUCAUGGAUGGAGGAGGAGGAGAUGAGACGGGGAUGGAGGAGGAGAGGGGGGAAGGAGGGAUUUUGUUGCCCCUGGCACACCCAGAACAGUCACUGCCCCCCCCACCCCUCUGCUUUCGUGAACCCCAGCGAGGACACUGACAUCGGGCACACAGACCUGCUUAAUGCCCCUUACACACCUCAUCCUCAUCACUUCUCUCCCUCUCUCCUCCUCCAUCACUUCUCUCCCUCUCUCCUCCUCCAUCACUUCUCUCCCUCUCUCUCCUCCUCCAUCACUUCUCUCCCUCUCUCUCCUCCUCCAUCACUUC